rnacentral:rRNA from 1 species
UACGGGGGGAGCAAGCGUUGUUCGGAUUUACUGGGCGUAAAGGGCGCGUAGGCGGCCACCGCAAGUCGGUUGUGAAAUCUCCGGGCUUAACCCGGAAAGGUCAAUCGAUACUGCGGGGCUAGAGUGCAGAAGGGGCAACUGGAAUUCUCGGUGUAGCGGUGAAAUGCGUAGAUAUCGAGAGGAACACCUGCGGCGAAGGCGGGUUGCUGGGCUGACACUGACGCUGAGGCGUGAAAGCUAGGGGAGCGAACGGG